ensembl:lncRNA novel transcript
GGCCGAAUCGUCCGUAUUCUCUCAGCUUCAAGCUCCUCUACUUUUCAACCAGGAGAUCCAGAUCUGGGUCAGACAGCAGCAUCCGGAGAGUGGAGAGGAGGCAGUGGCCCUGGUGGAAGACUUGCAGAAAGAACCUGGAAGACAGAGGCUGGAGCCUCGGGCGAGGCCGUCCGGCCGCACCCCUCCUGCUCAGCUGCGGUCGCCAUGGCCAAUGACAGCUGCGGGCCCGGCGAGCCGAGCUCGAGCGAGCGAGACCGGCAGUACUGCGAGCUGUGCGGGAAGAUGGAGAACCUGCUGCGCUGCAGCCGCAGCUCCUUCUGCUGCAAGGAGCGCCAGCGCCAGGACUGGAAGAAGCACAAGCUCGUGUGCC